AUGGCAAUUUUUAUCAGUUUUGGAAUAUUUGAGAAUUUUAGGAAGAAAGAAGUAGUCCGAAAGGGACACGAGGCUCCCACGAGAGUGGAGGGCACGCCCCCUACUGGGCGCGCACCCUGUCUCGUGGACACCUCGUGUGCCUCCCGGACUCCGUUUUCUUGCAUAUUAUGUAUUUUGGUCGGUAAAAAUUUAUUAUAUAUACUCCCGAAGGUUUUGACCACCGUAUCACGCAAAUAUCCUCUGUUUUCAUUUCGAGCUGUUUCUGUUUCAGAUCUAAAAGCAUCAUGUCGUCUCCAAGCUCUCCCAAGGACAAGUUUUUCAAGAGGGUUUAUCAACCCCUAUCUUGCGGAGGUGCUGCAUCACCCUCAAACCAUUGAGAUGCGUGAGAGGGUGCUGCACAUCCGUGAUGUGGAGGGACCAAGGCGUACCAGGAGCGUGGAGACAAAGCUCGAAGCCGUGGAGCAGCAAGUUUUCAAGUGUCAAGGGAUGGUGGAGCGUGGACUCAACGCCAACCAGAUGAGGAUCACGGAGUUCACCAACAACCACAAGCUGGAUGCCAAAGUCAUUGGGGAGACCAUCUUCAAGCUUCAAGAGAAAAUCGAGCACCUCCAAGCCCAGAUCUAUGACCCGCAAAACCAGAACUGUGAGUAUGAAUAUAGAUUCAAGAGGAUGAGUUUGGCUGCAGAUUUAAGGAUCUCGGAGACUCGAUCAUCCUUCUAUGAUGGAGAGCCUAUGCCUUGGAAGACGGACGACAAGCCUACAUCAUCAACAACUCCUACUUCAUCACCUCCGAGGACCUAA
rnacentral:rRNA from 1 species